CCGGGAGUAGCUCAACGGUAGAGCCACGCGCUUUGAACGCGGAGGUUGCAGGUUCGAGCCCUGCCUCCCGAA
rnacentral:tRNA from 1 species